rnacentral:rRNA from 1 species
UGGGCGUAAGCGAGCGCAGGCGGUUGCUUAGGUCUGAUGUGAAAGCCUUCGGCUUAACCGAAGAAGUGCAUCGGAAACCGGGCGACUUGAGUGCAGAAGAGGACAGUGGAACUCCAUGUGUAGCGGUGGAAUGCGUAGAUAUAUGGAAGAACACCAGUGGCGAAGGCGGCUGUCUGGUCUGCAACUGACGCUGAGGCUCGAAAGCAUGGGUAGCGAACAGGAUUAGAUACCC